GAGAAAGUCAUAAUGAUUAUGGGGUUGACUUGAAAUCAACUUUUUUGGGGUUCGAUUCCUUCCUUUCUUG
rfam:Sarcophilus harrisii ctg7180002463085, whole genome shotgun sequence.